AUUGAACGCUGGCGGCAGGCCUAACACAUGCAAGUCGAACGGUAACAGGGAUCAGCUUGCUGAUUCGCUGACGAGUGGCGGACGGGUGAGUAAUGUCUGGGAAACUGCCUGAUGGAGGGGGAUAACUACUGGAAACGGUAGCUAAUACCGCAUAACGUCGCAAGACCAAAGAGGGGGACCUUCGGGCCUCUUGCCAUCGGAUGUGCCCAGAUGGGAUUAGCUAGUAGGUGGGGUAACGGCUCACCUAGGCGACGAUCCCUAGCUGGUCUGAGAGGAUGACCAGCCACACUGGAACUGAGACACGGUCCAGACUCCUACGGGAGGCAGCAGUGGGGAAUAUUGCACAAUGGGCGCAAGCCUAAUGCAGCCAUGCCGCGUGUAUGAAGAAGGCCUUCGGGUUGUAAAGUACUUUCAGCGGGGAGGAAGGGAGUAAAGUUAAUACCUUUGCUCAUUGACGUUACCCGCAGAAGAAGCACCGGCUAACUCCGUG
rnacentral:rRNA from 1 species